CAUUCACUCACCUGAUUGGCUGCUGCAAGGUUCAGAGGUGUGGCCUGGAUACAUUAGGUGCACUCAGUGUAUAUGAAGAAAACCUGGAUUUAAGGAAGGACAUAUUUGGUGUCCUCUUGGACCUUUUACAGAGUCCAGAUUCCCAUGCCACAGUCUUGAAGAAAACAUUUCAGGCCGUUAAGAGGUGGAUUGUGUGUUCGCCUUUCCCUGAUCUCCUGCAGUUUAUCA